AUUUAAUUUCGUGCUAGAAACAAGACACGAAACUUGCUUAGGAUUCUGACCUGCUGUCGCACGUCGUCUAUGUACCAGCUGGUUUCGGGGUCAGAAUUUUUCUGGGUACUUGUGGGAUAUCGGGACAUCGCUUUAAAAGGACUGUAUCUGUCUGCAUCAUCACGUAAAAUAAGAGUGACAAGGGGUCCCUUAGAAACAGCAGUCUCCAUCAAUGGACACCUACUGAAGUUCAAGCCAGAUACCUAGCGUUUUGGUCAAGAUUUGAAGCCAGGACAUCCUGAAUGAGGCCCACGUACUAAUCACUCAGCGAUUACGGUUGGCCCUGGCAGAUGUAUUCAAAGGAUAAGAUCCUGUGCUUCAUGGCAUG